rnacentral:misc_RNA from 1 species
GAACGCAUAUUGCGCUCUCUGGUAUUCCGGAGAGCAUGCUUGUUUGAGUAUCAGUAAACACCUCGACUCCCUUUCUUCUUGAAAUGGAGCUGGACUUGAGUGAUCCCAACGCUUUAUUCAUAAAGUGGCGGGGUACUUUAAAUGCAGGGGCAGCUGGACUUUUCUCUGAGCUAUAAGCAUAUCUAUUUAGUCUGCCUCAAAAACAGAUUAUUACCUUUGCUGCAGCUAACAUAAAGGAGAUUAGUUCUUGUGCUGACUGAUGCAGGAUUCACAAAGACCGCUUCGGCUGUCUUUGUAAACUCGAUCUCAAAUCAAGUAAGACUACCCGCUGAACUUAAG